rnacentral:rRNA from 1 species
UACGAAGGGGGCUAGCGUUGCUCGGAAUCACUGGGCGUAAAGGGUGCGUAGGCGGCUUUCUAAGUCAGGGGUGAAAUCCUGGAGCUCAACUCCAGAACUGCCUUUGAUACUGGAGAGCUCGAGUCCGGGAGAGGUGAGUGGAACUCCGAGUGUAGAGGUGAAAUUCGUAGAUAUUCGGAAGAACACCAGUGGCGAAGGCGGCUCACUGGCCCGGUACUGACGCUGAUGUGCGAAAGCGUGGGGAGCAAACAGG